rnacentral:rRNA from 1 species
AUUGAACGCUGGCGGCAGGCCUAACACAUGCAAGUCGAACGAGUGGCGGACGGGUGAGUAAUGUCUGGGAAACUGCCCGAUGGAGGGGGAUAACUACUGGAAACGGUAGCUAAUACCGCAUACCAUCAGAUGUGCCCAGAUGGGAUUAGCUAGUAGGUGGGGUAAUGGCUCACCUAGGCGACGAUCCCUAGCUGGUCUGAGAGGAUGACCAGCCACACUGGAACUGGGACACGGUCCAGACUCCUACGGGAGGCAGCAGUGGGGGAGAGUGCCCAAUGGGCGCAAGCCUGAAGCAGCCAUGCCGCGUGUGUGAAGAAGGCCUUCGGGUUGUAAAGCACUUUCAGCGAGGAGGCGUUACUCGCAGAAGAAGCACCGGCUAACUCCGUGCCAGCAGACGCGGUAAUUC